ACAGCCGCUGCGACUUCCUUUUGGCAACGUCGUUGGACCGAGAACUCACGCGGCGUUGGCCACGGCGAGGAGGUCGCGGUUGUCGAGGAGCGCGGCCCGCGGCAGCUCCACAAUCAGAAGAUCAAUAUUGUUGCAUGUGCGUGUGACUCACGGAGGCACGACGACGACGUGUAUGCAGCAGAUGAAGAGGAAGACCAG